rnacentral:tRNA from 1 species
GCCCGGGUGGCGAAACUGGCAGACGCGCUGGAUUCAGGUUCCAGUGAGAGCAAUCUCUUGAGGGUUCAAAUCCCUCCUCGGGCA